GGGCAGGUAGCCUAGUGGCGAAGGCAAAGAGCUGUAAACUCUUUACGCUAGAAACAUCGGUGGUUCGAAUCCAUCUCUGCCCA
rnacentral:tRNA from 1 species